rnacentral:rRNA from 1 species
GAUGAACGCUGGCGGCGUGCCUAAUACAUGCAAGUCGAGCGAACAGACGAGGAGCUUGCUCCUCUGACGUUAGCGGCGGACGGGUGAGUAACACGUGGAUAACCUACCUAUAAGACUGGGAUAACUUCGGGAAACCGGAGCUAAUACCGGAUAAUAUAUUGAACCGCAUGGUUCAAUAGUGAAAGACGGUUUUGCUGUCACUUAUUGAUGGAUCCGCGCCGCAUUAGCUAGUUGGUAAGGUAACGGCUUACCAAGGCAACGAUGCGUAGCCGACCUGAGAGGGUGAUCGGCCACACUGGAACUGAGACACGGUCCAGACUCCUACGGGAGGCAGCAGUAGGGAAUCUUCCGCAGUGGGCGAAAGCUUGACGGAGCAACGCCGCGUGAGUGAUGAAGGUCUUCGGAUCGUAAAACUCUGUUAUUAGGGAAGAACAAAUGUGUAAGUAACUAUGCACGUCUGGACGGUACCUAAUCAGAAAGCCACGGCUAACUACGU